UAGAAUCAGGGUAGUUAUAUUAGUAAAGAAACUUUGCAACAGAAACUACUAACGUAAUAGCGAUGAGAUUCGGUGUUUAGCACAAUAGUAUUCUGCGCUGAUCUUCACUAGCCAUCUCUUAAAGAAAAGAAAAACUUUAAAGCCAUGCUAGAUUUCUUCUAACUGCAUAACAGAGAAGGGUGGGCUGGCUUGCGCAUAGCUUGCGGCCAGGAUGGAACUCGCACAUGCCGCCACGCGCAGCUCGCAGCUCAUAGCAGAGAUCGCCCACCGGCACACCUCGCGCUUCACCUGUGCAGCUCGCGGCGGCUGGGGCAGAGCCCGUCUGGCGUCCUCACAUCUCGCGGUGGCUGGGGCAGAGCUCGACCGGCGAAGAUGCAGAAGCUGCCCGCGCCUGGCUUCCCCGCCUGAUGCCUCCCCAGCUCAUAUUUUUCCUUAUCCUCUUCGAUUCAUCCUCGCUUGACAUCGGUAUCGCAGGGAUGCUCGAAACGAAAGGAAUUUGGUGUGAUAACUCAACUCCCUCCCGCGCGAAGCGUGCGCAUGGGAUCCGAGUAUCGUCGAGUCGGAGAGACAAAGCCGUACAACGCUUCUAGAGCCGGCUUCUGCGCCUCGGAGCACGGGCUUUUCCCGUCGCUUCACGAGAGGACGCGGCCUCCGUCUCCAAGGUGCUGUGACGUCGUCACUGCAGCAGCAGCUUAGUGAUAAUUAAUGGAGCUGCAGCUACUGCGGCUCAACGGUUCUUCUGUCUGAUCCGAUUAAAUUUGGCCUGCGCGAUCUGUUAUCAGCUUUGUUGGACUCUUGCUCGUCAGUGACAGUGAGCAGUGAGCUGUCACGGUUUCGGUUUGUUUAAAUGACUUUUGUUUUGGCUGGAGUAGUGUGUCAUGUGCGUGUGAUGUCCACAGUGCACCCUAGCUACAGUAGGCCAGGGCCGCAGUGAUGACAGAGAUGGUAGUUGUAGUGCCUUCCAAGUAACCCACUGCAAAUGGUUCUUUAAUGUGGGGGCGCGGCUUCCAAGAGCGUCAAUUUUAAUUUUGGUUUUACUACAGCAAGGGUCAAACUUGUUCUUUUUCGUUUUACUACCCGACUGUUCCCCUAUGUUCAGUGGCAGUGGAGACGUUAAUCUAAUGGUUCUUAUUUUAUCU